rnacentral:rRNA from 1 species
UCCCAGAGGAAUAUUGCAUUUGAGCCUCGUCCCUUGUCUCACAAGCUAAGAUGUGUCAAGCUAGGUCAGUCUCAGAUGAGAGACCUCCAAGGAAGACCUAGUUAUUGUGAGGA